GUUUUUAUAGUUAAUAUAAUAAUAUAACACUAAUUUUUCAAAUUAGAAUAACGAUAUACUGUUAGAAAUA